rnacentral:rRNA from 1 species
CCCGCUGAACUUAAGCAUAUCAAUAAGCGGAGGAAAAGAAACUAACAAGGAUCCCCCUAGUAACUGCGAGUGAACCGGGAAAAGCUCAAAUUUUGAAUCUGGCGGUCUUCAGGCCGUCCGAGUUGUAAUCUAGAGAAGCGUCUUCCGCGCUGGACCGUGUAUAAGUUUCCUGGAAUGGAACGUCGUAGAGGGUGAGAAUCCCGUCUUUGACACGGACUGCCAGGGCUAUGUGAUGCGCUCUCGACGAGUCGAGUUGUUUGGGAAUGCAGCUCAAAUAGGGUGGUAAAUUCCAUCUAAAGCUAAAUACAGGCGAGAGACCGAUAGCGAACAAGUACCGUGAGGGAAAGAUGAAAAGAACUUUGGAAAGAGAGUUAAACAGUACGUGAAAUUGCUGAAAGGGAAACGCUUGAAGUCAGUCGCGUUGGCCGGGGAUCAACCUUGCUUUUGCUGGGCGUACUUUCCGGUCGACGGGUCAGCAUCAAUUUUGACCGUUGGAUAAAGUCUAGGGGAAUGUAGCAUCUUCGGAUGUGUUAUAGCCCUUGGUCACAUACGACGAUUGGGAUUGAGGAACUCAGCACGCCGCAAGGCCGGGUACUUGUACCACGUUCGUGCUUAGGAUGCUGGCAUAAUGGCUUUAAUCGACCCGUCUUGAAACACGG